rnacentral:lncRNA from 1 species
ACAUAAAUAAAAAUCAAUUUAAAAUAAAUGUUCAUAAAGCAUUGUAAUUGUCAUUAUUACAAAUAAAUAAAUAAUAUAUAUAUAUUUUAAUGAAUUUUUAUUAUUAAAACUUUUUUCUUCUUUUAAAUAGGCCGAUUAAUCGGUAAUCAGCUAUUUUUGGUCCUCUAAAUCGGUAUCGGCGUUGAAAAAUCAUAAAUCGGUCGACCUCUACAUAACACAACCUACUACACUACAUAACACAACCUACUACAAUAGACAACCACUGGCUACUACAUAACACAACCCACUACAACAGCACUAAGACUACCACUGGCUACUACAUAACACAACCCACACACGGGCUACUACAUAACAACCCACACAACAGACUACCACUGGCUACUACAUAACACAACCCACUACCACUGGACUACUACAACAUAACCCACUAAAACAGCACUAAAGGCUACACUAGCUGAUAAUAACAUGACCAGUUCAGCUGGUAUUCAGGAAACGACUAAGACUGGACUAAAUUGUCACUACUGAGAUCAGACAUUUCCUCUAGGCAUACUUCAAUGUUACACAGUUAGGCUGUACAUGUUGCUACUAUACAACAUGAACCCUCCUAUUCCAACCAAUG